AAAGUCGCCAAAAAAAUAUGUGUCGGCUAAACAUGCAAAAACUCAAUAAUCCAACUCACGCUCGUGGGUACGAUACUGUUCAAACUCCAUUACAUUUUUUCAGUGGAAUUUGGAUUCGAUCAUUGACGGAGUUUCUUCAAAUGAAAUGCUAGGAUCAUUAAGUAUUGCAUACACGAUACAACAAUAUGUAAUACCUCCUAUCGCUUUGGAACAUAAAAUAAAAUAAAAUU